rnacentral:rRNA from 1 species
CCUACGGGCGGCAGCAGUGGGGAAUAUUGGACAAUGGGGGGAACCCUGAUCCAGCCAUGCCGCGUGUGUGAAGAAGGCCCUCGGGUUGUAAAGCACUUUCAGUGAGGAAGAACGCCUGGUGGUUAAUACCCAUCAGGAAAGACAUCACUCACAGAAGAAGCACCGGCUAACUCCGUGCCAGCAGCCGCGGUAAUACGGAGGGUGCGAGCGUUAAUCGGAAUUACUGGGCGUAAGGCGCGCGUAGGUGGCUUGAUAAGCCGGUUGUGAAAGCCCCGGGCUCAACCUGGGAACGGCAUCCGGAACUGUCAAGCUAGAGUGCAGGAGAGGAAGGUAGAAUUCCCGGUGUAGCGGUGAAAUGCGUAGAGAUCGGGAGGAAUACCAGUGGCGAAGGCGGCCUUCUGGACUGACACUGACACUGAGGUGCGAAAGCGUGGGUAGCAAACAGGAUUAGAUACCCGUGUAGUC